UAGUAGUUUCCCAACUACAAAUUAAGUGCGAAGGUUUGUUGGGUGUUAUAUUCCCCCCACCUUAGAAAAUUUGGUCCCCCAAAUUUGUCAUGAAUAAGUCUGGGAACUUUUCUCUCAUCUCGCUUUCCAACUCUCACGUCGCCUCUCCUGAAGUGUGGUGCUACCACUACCUUUCACCAUGGGGAUCAUCUCAUUGCGUAAAAUCUUGUCGGUCCAACAAAAGAUUUAUGCGGGGAGUUCCUCAUACAUCAUAUCAGCUUGCACUUACGUCUCAUUGUGAGGAAUGAUGUGAGAAGGAUCAAGGUGGUACCUUUUAAGCAUGGAGACAUGGAAAAAAUCAUGUAGACUCGUAAACUCUUGGGUAGAGCAAGGUAGUAACCCAUGGGUCCAACACGCUCCACGAUUCAAAAUGGUCCAAAGUAACAAGAGC
rnacentral:lncRNA from 1 species